GACGAACGCUGGCGGCGUGCUUAACACAUGCAAGUCGAACGAUGAAGCCGGAGCUUGCUCCGGUGGAUUAGUGGCGAACGGGUGAGUAACACGUGAGCAAUCUGCCCUUGACUCUGGGAUAACUGCGGGAAACUGUAGCUAAUACCGGAUACGACACCUUGGGGCAUCCCAGGGUGUGGAAAGAAUUUCGGUCAAGGAUGAGCUCGCGGCCUAUCAGCUAGUUGGUGAGGUAAUGGCUCACCAAGGCGACGACGGGUAGCCGGCCUGAGAGGGUGACCGGCCACACUGGAACUGAGACACGGUCCAGACUCCUACGGGAGGCAGCAGUGGGGAAUAUUGCACAAUGGGCGAAAGGCUGAUGCAGCAACGCCGCGUGAGGGAUGAAGGCCUUCGGGUUGUAAACCUCUUUUGGUAGGGAAGAAGCGAAAGUGACGGUACCUGCAGAAAAAGCACCGGCUAACUACGUGCCAGCAGCCGCUGUAA
rnacentral:rRNA from 1 species